rnacentral:lncRNA from 1 species
GUCGCCCAGGCUGCGGCCGAGGCCCUCAGUGUGUCCUGCAUGUGCCCCAACCUCAAGGGUGACCUUGAUCCUAGACCUUGGCCCCGCCUUGGCCUGCAACCAGGCACAGCACUGGGCCCAGACGCUUUGACUGCGCAGGAGGCGGGGCUCAGCCAGGCUCUGAGGCCUCUUUGUUCAGGGGCUCCCCAGGGCCCAGCUCAGCCGCCCACACAAGCAUGCAGGGGCCUCCCUGACCCUGGCCCUGGAAAAGGACCUGCCUCACCACCAACCAGCAGCCAGACCUGGGCUGCCAGGCCAGGAGGCCAGGCCUCUGAUGGUGCCCCCCCAGGGCACCUGCCGGAUCCCACUGCAAGUCUGCAGCCCUGCCCUGCAGUCCUCGAAGGGCCUAUUUUCCGGUGAAGAGAUGGAGACUCCGGGAGACCACAGGCUUGCAAGGGACGGCAAACCCGAGAACUGGAAGGCCCCCAAUUCCCAGGAGCUCAAAUGAUACGCCUGAGAAAACCAUGGGGAUUAUGGAAGGAUACUUCCGUUUGUUUUGGAAGGCAAGGCUGCACGCUGGGAACUCUGCAGGAGGUGAGCCAGAAUAAUGGAAAGAAUGUGGGUGUUGGAGCCCCACAGUUCCCAGCUCAAAUUCUGGUUCUGUCUGGUAUAGCUGUGUGACCUUGGGCAGGCUGUCUGACCUCUCUGUGCCUCUUCACGUAGCAGCACCCACUUCAGCUGUGAGAGAACACAGUCCAGCCCAUACCCAGAGCCUGGCCCAUAUCAGGUAUCAACAGAGGGUACCCACUGGCUUUCUCAUUGUCCUCUCCCAGAUCACACCAGGGCCCUCACCUAGGGGCCCUCAGAGCUGUGACACCAGUGGGCCUCAACACACUCAGGUCAGGAUCUCUCACUCUGGACUCCUGGUCCCCUCUUGGUGAAGUGGCAGGAGGUGCCCAGUCAGGCCAGGUGGUUUUGCCGUGCAGGGCUGGGGGUGGACUUCCUGGGCUGGUAGGGUGUUCAGCAACCUGCAAGUCACCUGAUGCAGCUGUCCCUCCCUGCCUGCUUGUGACCCUCAACACUGUGUCCAGACAUUGCCAAAUGUCCCCUGAGCAGGUGAGAAGUAGCACCUACUGUGUGCCUGGUGUGCUGUGGGCUCUGUGGGCGGCAGGACCCUGCCCACCAGGCCUCAUCUCCCCCUCAGGGACAUCUGACCAGCCUCCACACGGAAGCGACCAAGUUUAACGGGCACGCACACACCUGUCCCACACGCCAGACCCACGGGGUCUCUGCUGGGGCAUCAUCUGACCCUCCAGGGAGAGGCGUUUGGUCUCCCAACAGCCUUGGGGAUGAGUUUUAGGGACAGAGGCCCAGAGAUGGUGAAUGACCUGCCUGAGGUCAGGCUGCAACUUAGAACCAAGUACCUUCCCACUGGGGCAAUUGAGAGGCGCCGUUUAUAAUGUUAGCUACACUAGCUAGCCAAGGCCACCCUGGAUCCCAGGGGACAGGCAGCCUCUGGAAGGACAGGCUCUGAGGCUAUGUGUGAGUGGAAGGAUCCCCACGGACCUUAAGCUCUGAUUCUUAUCGACUGGCGGCCUCUGAGCCUUGCCUCGCAUACCUGUAAAAUGGGAAUAACUGCAACUAACCCAGAGCGUGCCUGUGGAGUUUUGGUGAGUUCCUGACACAUAGUAGGUGCUCAGUAAAUGGCAGCCAUAAUGCUUGUUGCUGCUGUUAUCUUGAAGAAUACAGGAAGCCACCCCUCUGCCAGGUGGGCUGACCCCAAAGCCUGCCAAUAGCCAGGCUCCCUAGGGCUGCUGUGGGGGGCUCCACGGGGAGCUCCUGUGUAGCCCCACAAGGAGCAGGGGAUGUCUGAGACUUGGGGGCAACAGUGCCCCCUACUGGACAGUUUGCAGAGGCGUGGGGGUGGGGGUGCUGGCCACGGGACUCACUGAGCUGGCUGGGCCUGGCUGGCACCUCCACCAGCCAGAGUGAGAGCCUGCUGGCCAAGGAGCAGCUCCCGAGGACCGUCCCGGGGCUAGCCCCCUUCCAGGUGUCCUUUUGUGGCACCCUCCCCACAUCCUCCAGGGACGGCCUUUCUCGAUUCGGCUGCUGGGUUCGUUCUCCCAUUUCUCCGAGACUCAGCUGUGGCAUCAUCCCGGGGGGAACAGGCGCGGACGACCCUGCACAGACUAGCGGGUGGUUAGCGGGCACACGCCACUGCCCGUCUGGCUGGGGGAGCACAGGUGGCCCUUUGUUGCAGGUGACCCUCGGCCUCCGCGGCAACCUGCCUUCCCGGGGCGUGCAGAGGGGUCGGUGGUGUGAGCGGCUGCUCAGCUAAUGCCCCGCCCCGGAAGUGGAGAAGCCUCCUCUCUGUCUGUCUCUCCAAGUUGCCAGAACCUUCUUCUCAGCCAGUACUUAGUAAGCUUGCCAGGGAGCAGAGGGCAGCCCCGUGCCAGAGCAGCCUGGAGAAGCCAGCUCUCAGGCGGGAUCCCUGGGCUCAUGGGAGGAGAGUCCCCUGGCACUUCUGCAGCAGGUGGGGGCAGAACCCCCUCCGGUGUGGGAGUGGCCAGCCGGGGGCUACCUGCGUCCUCGUGCUUUUUAGUGACAAGCAACGUCCUUGCGCCAGGAGCUGGAUUUUCCUCAGCGGGAAGGGAUAAAAAUGCUGUAGAUGGGCUUUCCCGAUGCCAGUGUGAGAGGCUCAUCUGUGAGAUGCUGUCCUCGUCUGCUGUGAGGCCGAGGAGGUGGAGGGCAGGAGAGAGGGAUCCAGGGGUCUCAGGUGACCUCUGCCCGGCCCGCGGUGUCUGCCAUUGGGGCCUGUCGCUGGCAUCUGGAGAUCUCCCUCGGAGUCUCUCGGCACCCUCUGGCUCCCGUCUGUGCUUAAUGAGAGGGGCUAUCUGGUAGAGCUGCGUGUAGGGCAGAGGGACAAGGGGCAGCUGGGUGACAGAUUCCUACCUGUGCCUCUUGGCCAUCGGCCUGUUGACAGACUGGGUUCCAGUUUCCAUCAGCUGGUGACCUCAGGGGGUCCCCGUCACUGCUCUGGGCUCUGAGAGGGCGAGAUAGUGGAGGCUCCAGACCCCCAGGGCCUGCGCUUGCUCCCUGCCCUCCCUUCCUGCUCCCCCGCCCACGGCCCUUGAGGGAUUCCCCGGAGAGUCGGAGGAGGCCGGCUCCUGUCAAGGUGCGGCAGCGCGGUGCUCCUGGUCCACUCCUCCCUUCUCCCCUUGGGUCCUCUGUGUUGGCUUUCAGCUGGCCUCAGAGACCAAACUAAAAUUGAAUUCGAUUUUCCCAGGGUUUUAUCAGUCUUGAGCAGGUUACUUUCAGGCAGCAAGAAUAAUGACAUAGGUUUCUCAUCCUUCCUCUAAAAGAGUUCUUUUUUUUUAAUAGAGUCUUCCCCCCCGCAAAUUAGAGUCUUCCCCCAGAGACUAAGAACCAUGCUCAUUCAAUCAAAAGCAGAGUGUUCUUGAACACUCCGGGGGACACUGCCCCCAGAAGACACUUGUGUCUGUCACAGCUGGGACACUGUGCUCUCCUCUAGCGAGUAGGUGACACCCUCAAGGCAGAGGACGGCCUUCCACAAAUGGUUAUCUGGCGCCGAUGCCAGUAGCUACAAACUGGUCUUAAACAGCAGACAGAGCAGAAUGGCCAUUACCGAGAAUACAGGCAACAGUCCAUGUUGGCGAGGCCGUGGGGAAGGCUCACUCGCACACGGCUGGCGGGACUGCAUGCAGCCACUCUGGAAAGAGGAAGGGAGAUUCCUCAGAAAUCUGGGAAUGGAACCACCAUUCAACCCAGUUAUCCCUGUACCCAAGGGACUUAAAAUCAGUAUACUACAGUGACACAGCCACAUGGAUGUUUAUAGCAGCUCAACUCACAGUAGCUAAGCUAUGGAACCAACCCAGGUGCCCUUUGACAGACGAAUGGAUAAAGAAAAUGUGGUACAUAUACACAAUGGAGUAUCACCCCGCCUUAAAGAAGAAUGAGAUUAUGGCAUUUGCUGGUAAAUGGAUGGAGGGGAGAAUAUCAGGCUAAGUGAAAUAAGUCAAUUCCAGAAAAACUAAAGGCCGGAUGUUCUCUCUGAUAUGCGGAUGCUAACACACAAGGGCUGAGAGGGAAGUGCAGAAGUUCACUGGAUUAGACAAGAGGAAUGAAGGGAAGGGAGAGGGAAUGUUCUGGAAUAGGUAGGACAAUGGAAUGAAUCAGACAGAACUUUCCCAUGUUCAUAUAUGAAUACACGACCAGUGAAACCCCACAUCAUGCACAACCACAAGGACGGGAUCCUAUUAGAAUAAGCCAUACUCCAUGUGUGCAUAAUACGUCAAAAUGCACUCCACUGCCGUCGUACCUGAGAAGAACAAAUUAAGAAAAAUAGACAGGGCUGUGAGCAUCUGCCCUGCAGGAGAGACAAGCACCCAGGCUUCAAACUGACCUUUUGCUAGAACAAUCUGUGAGGAAAAAGUUUUAGGUGUAUGGAGCCCAGGAAAAGGAUCGGUGAUGUGAGCCCUUUGUCUGUUAAACUGAAUAAUAGCUUUCAAAUUCCAGAAGAAUGUAACAGUCACAGAGGCAACACAUUUUUUUUAUAUCUAUUUUUUGGUGUAGUUGGACACAACACAAUGCAUUUUAUUUUUAUGUGGUGCUGAGGAUCAAACCCAGGUCCCGCCCGUGAUAGGGGAGCGCUCCACCGCUGAGCCGCAAUCCCAGCCCCUGCAACACAUUUUUAAACUUAGUUUUCUGGGAAAAAUUGUGGAAGAUUUUGAAAUAGAUAAAAGAUUGCCAGAGAUUCUACUAACAGAACCCCCCAAUAUCUUGCCUGGGUGUGUGUGCCCCUGACUUUGUAUUUAAUGUUUCUGCAAAGAUGUCCACUCAUGGAAAAUGGGAGGUGAUGCAAUACUUGAUGUCCCUGGUGAUGCAAACCGUGACCAUCCAGUACCAUGCAAAUGAGUUUUGUCAGAUAGAAAAGAUAAACCUCUACAAGACAAAUCCUCAUUCGACCCCUUCAAGGGGAUGUCAAACUCAUUAUAAUUAAUGCUAUGAUUAAUGUUUCCAACUCAUCAUAAUUAAUGUUAGAGGAAACAUUUGACUUGCAUUCCCUUUAUCUCUGCAUAAGAGUUGUGGUUUUUUUCCUUCUUUUGUCUUUUUUUUGAAAAUUAUCCUCUAACAAUCUUCAUUAUUAACAUUUUCUCCCUCGUUUCCUUAGGUCUCGACAAUAUCAACAACAUGAUAAACCAAGUUCUCAUCUGUAGCAUCUGCCAAAGUCCAUAAGAGAAAAACUCUGAGAGAUCCUGAUUUAAUUCAAGGGCUGGAGGAGGAGGUGGGGAGAUGAGGACAGCUCCCGCAUCCUGAACGUGACCCGAGGCUGGACGCAAAUCCCAGGCGCUGAGUCCCCCCAGAGCUGAGGCCCCCCGGCACUGAGUCCCCCCAAUACCGAGUCCCCCCAGCACCACGGCGUCCUGCUUACAACACCAAGCAACCCAGAGGCGGCAAGAACGUCUUCUGGCCCUGCUCCUGUCCUGUGGGUCUCCGGCUCCACCUGCUCUGCCCUCUUCCCGGUUCUGUGUGCACGACUUACGCGUUCCUGACCCACGUUUCCCUGGAAGGAUGCUCCUGACUUAUGGGCUUAUUUCCAGCUACAAUCUAGUCCUGCCGCUGCUAGUCUGGGGGACCGUCCCUUUUCUGACUGUCAGAUGAGACCCCUCCUGUAUGGGAAGGGCCCAGACUGGGCCACACACUCUCUACUCACCAUCAGGCCUGGGCCUCCCCUUCUCCUGUGCUCCUGCCCCUCAUGUCCACACCCAGGACCAGGCUAAGGAAGGGCCAGGAGAAGCGGCUGUGUUGUGGGGUGCUAUGGUUUGAUGUGGUCUGUUCUCACCGACUCAUGGGCUCAGUUGCCCAAUGCAACGCAUUAAGAGCUCAUAGAACCUUGAAGAGGAGGGGCCGAGUGGGACACAAUUAGGUCACUGGGAUCCAUGCCCAUUUUGGGUGUUCAGAUUAGGGCUCCAGGGACUAGUUCAGUUCUCACCACUCUUCUGCCGUGUAGUACCGUCUGCCAUGUUAUGAUGCAGCACAAGGCCCUUGUCACAUGUGGCCAUACCAUCUUAGAAUUUUCACCUCCGGAACUCUGAGCUAAAUAAAACUCUUCUCUUUAUAAGCCUCGAAU